AGUGGCGGACGGGUGAGUAACGCGUGGAUAACCUACCUCAUACAGGGGGAUAACAGUUGAAACGACUGUUAAUACCGCAUAAGCGCACGGGACUGCAUGGUUCUGUGUGAAAAACUCCGGUGGUAUGAGAUGGGUCCGCGUCUGAUUAGCUAGUUGGCAGGGUAACGGCCUACCAAGGCGACGAUCAGUAGCCGGCCUGAGAGGGUGUACGGCCACAUUGGGACUGAGACACGGCCCAAACUCCUACGGGAGGCAGCAG
rnacentral:rRNA from 1 species